ACACUCAGAACAUCAUCAGAGAAGGCACAAGAAGUCAUAGGCACAAGAUACCACAGGCACAUGCUGCCUCUCAUGUGAAGAUGAGAAAAGCAUAAGAUGCCGUAGGCACACGAUGCCUCUCAUGAGGGCUAACUAACCAAACCCUCAGAACAUCAUCGAAGAGGGCACAAGAUGUCGUAGGUACAAGAUGCUGCAGGCACAUGUUACCUCUCGUG
rnacentral:lncRNA from 1 species